rnacentral:misc_RNA from 1 species
GUAGGUGAACCUGCGGAAGGAUCAUUACAAAUCCACGUCUCUCUUCGAGACUUGUCGAAAUGUGUAAAAGAGCGAGAAUAGCAUAGUCAUGUCAUUGUCGUCAUACAAUCAUGUCUAUCUCUUCCUCCUCUUUAAUUGACCAGUGUUGAUCAGUUUAUUCACUUUUAAAUGAACACAACUUAUAACAAUGGAUCUCUAGGCUCUUGCAUCGAUGAAGAACGCAGCAUCUGACUGACUUCAGUACGAGGCA